UGUCCCCGAGUCCUGAUGGCCAUGAGGACUUAACAUGCCGCUGGUGCACUGUCACAUCCAUCUGUACAACUAAAUGCAGUGGUCGCAGCGUUCUCCAUAACGAGAGGGAUUGGCAGUGUCCUCGUUAUGAUCUUAAUGAAACAGUGCACUUGACGGAGCAGCCGCAAAACGUCACCUCUCACGCGGGCGGCACCGUCACCUUCACCUGCUACGCACCCAACGGCGCAUCCCCAGUC